GGGCAGAGAGAAGGGGCCCUGUGGGGAAGGGUGAGGGUGCACGGCAAGGACAGCAGUACGAGCUGAAUGCAGUGACUGUAUCAUAGCUGCUGGUUAUGAGGAUUGGAUUUCUUUUUUGCAGAUGUCACGUGCCGGGGUGAGCUGUUAUUAACUAAAAGGAGUCAGGGCUUAGCUGCAAGAAAGGAGGAAUUGCUCUUAAAGUGCUUGGAAGUCACCGAUCUAACCAACAGAUGAAAAAUUUCCUGAGGACAGACCCUCCCCUCUGGAGGCAUCCUUCUAUCAUUGGGUAUGGAUGUAACAGGUUUGCCUGCAAACGCUGAGCCUUCCCUGAUCCUUAGAAGUGGGCCAGGCAGACAAGCGGCUGAUCGUGGGGGUCCUCCUGCCACUUCCUCCUGCAGAGUUCUGUCCUGCUCCCUCAGAAGCUCAGGUCUGGGCAAGACCCUGAGACCAGCACUGCAAUUAAACCACAUCCACAAUUGGCAGCUGCCAGAAGAUCCCCACCCACCUACUGGUCCCUCAACUGCUCCGGGGUCAGGCAAUGGAGCACAGUUCUCAGCUGCUGGCAGGAAAGCAGGGAGGGCUCUGGGUUUGUGUGGCCAUUUCCUCUUGUCUCCUGUCCUGGUACCUCCCUAAGACCCUCCUGGGUGGAGGCUUAUUAAGCAGGGACCCUAUCGCAGCACCAUGAUUUUCAACUCUUGGCAGGCUUCCCUGAAAGCAUUUUAUGCCAAUGCGACUGAGGCUAAUUCCAGGCUGCCUGAGUUUAACAAGCUCCCCAUCUCUCAUCAGCUCCUGACUCCCCGAAGCAAGGUCAAGUGGGAGUUUAAUAGCUGUUCCUGGGACUGUGCAGAGGGCAGCCCUUUGAACUCAGUGUCUCAAUCCCACAGGUGGGAGGUUCCCACCACUGCGUAAUUUCGAGAGAGAGGGCCGAGACUGCCUGGGGGGAAGUCCCAUGGCUACCUGGUUCGAGGCAGCUCUUUGAUAUCUCCUGGAGCACUCCUGGUCCUAGAACCAGACAGCUCUCAACUGAACUGACACAAGUAACAAACUCGGCAUCCCCUCUCCUGGGCAUCCCUACAAGCCAUGCGAGCCCUGUGUUGGUGGAGACACUGCCUUCUCCACCGCAGACACCAACAAGUUAGAAUGGAGAAACUGUCUAUGGCCCUACCACCCUGAACACUUCGGAUGUCAUCUCAUCUCGGAAGCUAAGCAGGGUCGGGCCUGCUUAGGACUUGGGUGGGGGAAUGGAGAAAUUGCUGGCCUUUUGACGAUGCAGGUUUUAACAUCAGAUCUGAGCCCUAAUAGCUGUGUGUCUCAGCUGUCUGGGCCACACCAUGAACAGGGAAAAGUUUCCUCCACUUAAAGAAAGAAAAAGACAAAGAGGAGAAGGAAGGCAAUGCGGAGCUCUCCUGGAAGGUACAUUAAAUCAUUAAAUGCCAGCCUGCCUGUUUCACGUAGGAGGACUCGUAUAUGUGUUCCUGGUAGGGAAUGUGUGUCCAAAACACCAGCAUCUUCUUCUCAGCCCACCCAGGCUGCCCCCAUCUUGUUUAAUGCCGUUUAGGCAGAAUAACUAUUUCUCCAAUUUUCCAGUGCAGAAUUAGACUCUUUAACUUGACUUCUGCAUUUUCCUAUGUGAGACUCAGCCGGAUGUAUGUCCUCUCCCACGUGUACAACCCCCAUAAACUGAACUAAGAGAGAA